UACGUAGGGUGCGAGCGUUAAUCGGAAUUACUGGGCGUAAAGCGUGCGCAGGCGGUUUUGUAAGCCCGAUGUGAAAGCCCCGGGCUUAACCUGGGAAUGGCAUUUGGGACUGCAAGGCUGGAGUGUGGCAGAGGAGACUGGAAUUCCUGGUGUAGCAGUGAAAUGCGUAGAUAUCAGGAGGAAUACCGAUGGCGAAGGCAGCCCCCUGGGUCGAUACUGACGCUCAUGCACGAAAGCGUGGGGAGCAAACAGG
rnacentral:rRNA from 1 species